rnacentral:piRNA from 1 species
UAGGUUCUGAGCUAUGACUGGUCACACCUA